rnacentral:tRNA from 1 species
GACUGAUUAGCUCAGCAGGUAGAGCAUCUGCCUUUUAAGCAGAGGGUCUGGAGUUCGAGUCUCCAAUCAGUCACCA